rnacentral:rRNA from 1 species
UAAGGUUAAGUUAAUAAGGGCGCACGGUGGAUGCCUUGGCACUAGGAGCCGACGAAGGACGUGACAAACGACGAUAUGCCUUGGGUAGCUGUAAGUAAGCGAUGAUCCAGGGAUUUCCGAAUGGGGGAACCCAACAGGUAAUACCUGUUACCUACAUCUGUUAAGGAUGUGAGGAGGAAGACGCAGUGAACUGAAACAUCUAAGUAGCUGCAGGAAGAGAAAGCAAAAGCGAUUGCCUUAGUAGCGGCGAGCGAAACGGCAGAAGGGCAAACCGAAGAGUUUACUCUUCGGGGUUGUAGGACUGCAAUGUGGACUCAAAGAUUAUAGAAGAAUGAUUUGGGAAGAUCAGCCAAAGAGAGUAAUAGCCUCGUAUUUAAAAUAGUCUUUGUACUUAGCAGUAUCCUGAGUACGGCGGGACACGUGAAAUCCCGUCGGAAUCUGGGAGGACCAUCUCCCAACCCUAAAUACUCCAGUGACCGAUAGUGAACCAGUACCGUGAGGGAAAGGUGAAAAGCACCCCGGGAGGGGAGUGAAAUAGAACCUGAAACCGUGUGCCUACAACAAGUUCGAGCCCGUUAAUGGGUGAGAGCGUGCCUUUUGUAGAAUGAACCGGCGAGUUACGUUAUGAUGCGAGGUUAAGUUGAAGAGACGGAGCCGUAGGGAAACCGAGUCUGAAUAGGGCGCCUUAGUAUCAUGACGUAGACCCGAAACCAUGUGACCUACCCAUGAGCAGGUUGAAGGUGCGGUAAGACGCACUGGAGGACCGAACCAGGGCACGUUGAAAAGUGCUUGGAUGACUUGUGGGUAGCGGAGAAAUUCCAAACGAACUUGGAGAUAGCUGGUUCUCUCCGAAAUAGCUUUAGGGCUAGCGUCGACAUUAGAGAUUCUUGGAGGUAGAGCACUGUUUGGGUGAGGGGUCCAUCCCGGAUUACCAAUCUCAGAUAAACUCCGAAUGCCAAUGAAUUAUGGUCGGCAGUCAGACUGCGAGUGCU